rnacentral:rRNA from 1 species
UACGGGAGGCAGCAGUGGGGAAUAUUGCACAAUGGGCGCAAGCCUGAUGCAGCCAUGCCGCGUGUAUGAAGAAGGCCUUCGGGUUGUAAAGUACUUUCAGCGGGGAGGAAGGCGAUGCGGUUAAUAACCGCGUCGAUUGACGUUACCCGCAGAAGAAGCACCGGCUAACUCCGUGCCAGCAGCCGCGGUAAUACGGAGGGUGCAAGCGUUAAUCGGAAUUACUGGGCGUAAAGCGCACGCAGGCGGUCUGUUAAGUCAGAUGUGAAAUCCCCGGGCUUAACCUGGGAACUGCAUUUUGAAACUGGCAGGCUUGAGUCUUGUAGAGGGGGUGAAUUCCAGGUGUAGCGGUGAAAUGCGUAGAGAUCUGGAGGAAUACCGGUGGCGAAGGCGGCCCCUGGGACAAAGACUGACGCUCAGGUGCGAAAGCGUGGGGAGCGAAACAGGAUUUAGGAUAC